GACGUAGGGGGCCAGCGUUGCUCGGAAUUACUGGGUGUAAAGGGUUCGUAGGCGGUGUGGCAAGUCGGGAGUAAAAUCUCUGGGCUCAACCCAGAGUCUGCUUCCGAAACUGCUGUGCUUGAGUGUGGGAGAGGCGCGUGGAAUUGCAGGUGUAGCGGUGAAAUGCGUAGAUAUCUGCAGGAACGCCCGCGGCGAAA
rnacentral:rRNA from 1 species